ACAGUUGCUGGCAUGGUUUUCUCUCUCUCUCUCUUGCAGGUUCUAUGUGCCCUAGCAAAUAAAAAGAACAAAGAAGGAAAAAAGGAGGGAAAAUAUGGCAGGUAGAAGUGGUGAUUCAUUCCAUCAACACAGAGCCCAAUGGAUAACCCAGGUGGCAACAGGAAAGAGAAAUAGAAGAAGAAAGAAAAGCAGUAGGAAAGACUGCAAAUGUUCAUGAAAGCCAGUCACCAGAUGAGAAGACCUGCCUGGAGGAAGCUUCACAGGAGAAGGAGCCAUACUGUGCCACCAGGUUCCAGAUGCUAGCAGGAUGCGGAACAGACUUCCCUGGACAGACAACACUACCAAUGUGUCCUGGAGCUCCGCUUCCCCAAUGCCCCACCCCAAUAGGGAAAGAGAGACGCAGGCUGGGAGUAUGGAUCCACCUGUCAACGCCCAUGUUCAGUGAGGAAGCAAUUACAGAAGCCAGACCUUCCACCUUCUGCAUCCCACAAUGACCUUGGGUCCAUACUCCCAGAGGGUUAAAGAAUAGGAAAGCUGGGAGUCAGGCAGUAGCACAGUGGAUUAAGCACACGUGGCCUGAUGUGCAAGGACGGCUAAGGAUCCCAGUUCGAGCCCCCGGCUCCCCACCUGCAG